GAGAAGAGAAACACUCCAUAACCUGUAGCAAACGCUCUGGAACCCAAAAAGCAAAGAACAGAACUGUACUGACUGGGAGGGACAGAAGGCACUGAGAUCCCAUCAGAACUGAGGAGCCCUAAGCCAGCUGGUGCGGGGACAGACCGGGUGAGUGUUGGUCAAGCUGGAGUUGGACUCCAUCAGGGAACAUUUGGACUUGGUGAGCCCUGGGAGACGGCAAAGCGUCGGGUGCCAAGGAGAGAGAAGGAACGUGCUGCCGGUGGAUGCGAGAGGCAGCGCCAGCGGGGCGUCCCCCGCUUCAAGGGGCACUUCUCCUGUCUCACCCAGGGCAGCCUCUCUCCCCAUUUCUUUUGGUUGAAUUCUGAAGGCUUUGAUCCAUUGACACACCACAUCUGCCUGGCCAGAGCGAGACAUGGAGGCCAAAGGGAGCUCCUGCUUGGAAAUGGAGGAUGGGAAAGGGUGUCAAGUAAGAGGAACACCCUUGGAAAGCCAAGUGAGCACAAGCGAAAACCAACAACAAGCCCAUAGGACCUCUGCAAGCAUUGGAAUGACCUCAGGGGACAACAGAGCUUGCCAGACAGAGGAAGGAAUAGAUAUUGGCAUCCAUUUACGGGUGUGGGUUCUCGCUGUGUCCACCAAGAGCCUCAGUAGAGUCCUUGCACUGCUCAGCAGGGUCACAACUCUCCAGUGCCACCUUAUGAACACAAGAAAAGGUAAGUAGAGAUUACCUUCUAGUGAGGAUGCAGGAAUCACUCACCCCUUUCCAAGGAUCAGGGCACAUCCCACACUGCAAUCAAGGAGGUCAGGGAAGGCAUCACCAUGUGGUGGGUAAGUCUCCAAUACUAGAAGGAAAGAAGAAACCUUCAAAUCAGGUACUGAACCACAUGGGUUACACAGAAAAACAGAUGUCAAGCUAGAAACCCCAAGUCAUACGACACACUCACUGCAAGCCUGUUUUGGAGUUUACCACUUGAUUUUCCAUCUCACUUGGUCAAACCUUACCAGAAAUCAUUUGGUUUAUUGCAGACCCAGGAUGGAUCAAUAAGCAGCCCGGAAAAAAAAUAAAAAAUAAAAAAACUAAGGCAAACAUCACAUAACAACAGGAAAACAUACUGAACCUGGAUAUAAGAGAACAAACCCAUGUUCUCUGGGAUAAGCAGAAGGCAAACAUCACAUAACAACAGGAAAACAUACUGAACCUGGAUAUAAGAGAACAAACCCAUGUUCUCUGGGAUAAGCAGAAGGCACGGAGAUCCCACCAGAACUGGGGAGCCCUAAAG
ensembl:lncRNA